ensembl:lncRNA
ACAGUGGGUUAUGUUUCCCAGCAGUUCCCUCCAGCAAGGCCCGUACUUCUGCGAAGCACGGAAAUAUAUCUUUUUUCCUUCUCUUUGGUGAGGUUUUAGGAACAAGAGUGAAACAAUGUUUGUUGCACAAACCCUCUUCUUUGAGGCUUUGGUUGCUGUCAGGAUACCUGGGGGCUGCCACAUUCCCUUUCUGAGGAGGGGAAGGAGAACGUUGCCCUUUCCUUUCCCCGCCACGUGGUAAAAAGCCACAGGCAACCGCAAGGCUGUCCCUCUGCACCGCUGCCAUCAGAUUUCCCUGAGAGCUUUUCCUGUAGGAAAACCACCAGGAAGUGCCAUCAGUGCCAGACACAGGGGAAAAAAAGAGCUCCGAAAUCGCUCCCUGCAGAGCAACUCUGCGCUCCUGCCGAUGAGCUGUCGUCCAUGUCUGCCAGGGCACGGUGGAGUCUGAGGGGGAAUCGUUACAUUCCUCAAACAAAUGAUUCAUUGAAAAUCACCGUCUGGCUCCGGGAACAAUUCACUGUCAAUGUUUUGCCUCAAACUUAGUCAUGAAACCAACAGGAGUUUAGAAAGUCUCAACAACGAACCCCCUUCAGCAGUUAAAGCCCACCAAUAAACAGCAUCGAACGCUGGAAAGAAGCUUCAUUUCUAGAAAUGAUGCGAGCUGUGGAAAAUAUAAACUGUGUCUUCCCUGCAGACACAGCCAAAACUAAUCAAAAUACUCCUAGCGACACAAAGGAAAUACCUCGAGCUGUGAUAAGGAUUAUGAAUGUGGUUCUUUUACGUCUCCGCUAGCUCAUAACAAUAUGAUGGACUGGUGGCACCGUUCUCGGCACUGAGAUUAAUAGCCAGGCAGGAGCUGAGAAGGAGAAAGUGCACUUUCAGUUUUCUUUCCGAUGGCUAAUUAGAAAGGCCAUAUCUGAGAGGAAACAUUGUGGAAAUGAGAGCUAUUUGGAUGUCCCUUCCCCCGUAUACUAUCACUCUGCUUUGUCAAGAAUGCUUUAUUAAUGCUAAUCUCAUCCCUGUGCUUUGACAGAAGUUACAGUUUCCUUCCUUUGCAACAGCUAAGUCUGAAUUCUAUUAUGGGUUUUGUUUUAUGGGAGCAUUAUUAUUUUACUAAAUUACCUCAUCUUCUGGGAACAAACCUAACCUUGAACUACAGAGCUAAAUGGCUUUUUAAUGAUGCAAGUCUGUUUGGAAAUUGUACUUUGAUGACUCUAAAUUUUCUUCCUUCUCCAUGUUUAGAAUGUGCAACAAACACAGAAAGUGACUCAUUUCUGCAGUCUUUCCUGAUUCCCUGUUUUAAUGCUGAGUUGCUGCAAUUAUUAGGGUUAACAUGAGUGGCAACAAACAUUCUCUGCCCAGGGUGGUGGUGGAGUCACCGUCCCUGGAGGUAUUCAAGAACUGUGUGGAUGUGGCACUGAGGGACAUGGUUAGUUGGCAUGGUGAGGAUGGGCUGAUGGCUGGACUGGAUAAUCUUAGUAGUCAUUUCCAGCCUUAAUGAUUCUAUGACUCUGUGAUAUUACCAAAGGAAACUUGAGGCUCCUUAGCCUGGGAGCUGCUUCCUUCAGGUGUUAUGCACAGCAUUUAAUGGAAAGGAAUCCACCUCAGUUUGAGCUUAUGGCCAAUGUUAUACUUAAAUGGUGCCUGAAGCAUGUGUACUAUAGCUGUCACUGCUCGAG